ensembl:snRNA U6 U6 spliceosomal RNA
GUGCUCACAUUGGCAGUACACAUACUAAAAUUGGAAUAAUACAGAGAUUAGCACGGCCUCUGUACAAAGAUGACGUGCAAAUCCAUGAAGCAGUCCAUAUCUUU